GUACAGGUUCAACCACAGUGAGAAUAAAAGGAGGUCCUUUUUCUUGUAUCCAUCUGACUUACCGUCUUCAUGAUGCUUUUCUUCUCUGCUUCUUGUCCCAAGCUGGCCUACGCAGAUUCAUUGGUGAUCAGUGGCACAUGCAGAACAUCCACAAAGACUCUGUGGAAAGCUCUGAUGAUGAGUUUUUUGAUGCUCGAGAAGAGGUGGUGGAAGGAAAAAGUGCUAUUCUCAUCGGCAUGAGUCAGUGGAACUCAAAUGACCUUGUUGAGCAGAUAGAAACAAUUGGGAAGCUGGAAGAAAAUCAAGGUACCGUUUAGCUUGCCUUAC